rnacentral:rRNA from 1 species
AUUGAACGCUGGCGGCAUGCCUUACACAUGCAAGUCGAACGGCAGCACGGGUGCUUGCACCUGGUGGCGAGUGGCGAACGGGUGAGUAAUACAUCGGAACAUGUCCUGUAGUGGGGGAUAGCCCGGCGAAAGCCGGAUUAAUACCGAAUACGAUCUACGAAUGAAAGCGGGGGCCCUUCGGGCCUCCCGUUAUGGGGUUGGCCGAUGGCUGAUUAGCUAGUUGGUGGGGUAAAGGCCUACCAAGGCGACGAUCAGUAGCUGGUCUGAGAGGACGACCAGCCACACUGGGACUGAGACACGGCCCAGACUCCUACGGGAGGCAGCAGUGGGGAAUUUUGGACAAUGGGCGAAAGCCUGAUCCAGCAAUGCCGCGUGUGUGAAGAAGGCCUUCGGGUUGUAAAGCACUUUUGUCCGGAAAGAAAUCCUUGGCCCUAAUACGGUCGGGGGAUGACGGUACCGGAAGAAUAAGCACCGGCUAACUACGUG